rnacentral:rRNA from 1 species
GAUGAACGCUGGCGGCGUGCCUAAUACAUGCAAGUCGAGCGAACAGAUAAGGAGCUUGCUCCUUUGACGUUAGCGGCGGACGGGUGAGUAACACGUGGGUAACCUACCUAUAAGACUGGGAUAACUUCGGGAAACCGGAGCUAAUACCGGAUAACAUUUGGAACCGCAUGGUUCUAAAGUGAAAGAUGGUUUUGCUAUCACUUAUAGAUGGACCCGCGCCGUAUUAGCUAGUUGGUAAGGUAACGGCUUACCAAGGCGACGAUACGUAGCCGACCUGAGAGGGUGAUCGGCCACACUGGAACUGAGACACGGUCCAGACUCCUACGGUAGGCAGCAGUAGGGAAUCUUCCGCAAUGGGCGAAAGCCUGACGGAGCAACGCCGCGUGAGUGAUGAAGGGUUUCGGCUCGUAAAACUCUGUUAUUAGGGAAGAACAAAUGUGUAAGUAACUGUGCACGUCUUGACGGUACCUAAUCAGAAAGCCACGGCUAACUACGUG